CGGACGGGUGAGUAACACGUGAGUAACCUGCCUUACACAAGGGGAUAGCCGUUGGAAACGACGAAUAAUACCCUAUGAAACUAUCACUUCGCAUGAAGCGAUAGUCAAAGUGUUAGCGGUGUAAGAUGGACUUGCGUCUGAUUAGCUAGUUGGUGAGAAAAAAGCCCACCAAGGCAACGAUCAGUAGCCGGCUUGAGAGAGUGUACGGCCACAUUGGGACUGAGACACGGCCCAG
rnacentral:rRNA from 1 species